UACGGAGGGUGCGAGCGUUGUCCGGAAUCACUGGGCGUAAAGGGCGCGUAGGCGGCGCAGGAAGUCAACGGUGAAAGUUCGGGGCUCAACCCUGAAUCGGCCGUCGAUACUCCUGGGCUCGAGCACUGUAGAGGCAGAUGGAAUUCCGGGUGUAGCGGUGGAAUGCGUAGAGAUCCGGAAGAACACCGGUGGCGAAGGCGGUCUGCUGGGCAGUUGCUGACACUGAGGCGCGACAGCGUGGGGAGCAAACAGG
rnacentral:rRNA from 1 species